GGAUUGACACAUCGGUCGUGCCUUAAGGGGUAUGAACUGGUGUAGUCAAUUUCUCACCUUCUGGAGAACCGCGAUGCCCUUAAUUGGGUGUCACGGGGAACCAGGACCUUUACUUUGAAAAAAUUAGAGUGUUUAAAGCAGGCAUUUUGCUUGAAUACAUUAGCAUGGAAUAAUAAAAUAGGACGGCAUGAUUCUAUUUUGUUGGUUUCUAGGAUCACCGUAAUGAUUAAUAGGGAUAGUUGGG
rnacentral:rRNA from 3 species